CUAUUUACAGGAAGACAUUUGAGCAAUCCAACUAAUAUAUCCAACUUAAGGUCUGGCUCAGCGGCAAGUUCCCACCCAACAUGAAGUACAGCAUCAUUUUCCAUGUGUUACAAAACCUGUGAGUCUCUCGCAGCACUUUCUAUGGUGAGGAGGAUUUCUCGGGCUCACUUAAAGUCGAUGUCAACCUCGGAAGUAAAAUCUGAGGCGCUCUACAUACUGGCUCCAGUCUUCCAUAGUGGCAUCAUAAGGAUCGAUUCAGCCAAAGAGUGGUGUGACUGAGCGAAUUUACGGAGAUGUUACAAGAGAUCUUGGAGCAGAAACUAGUCCGAGCACCUAGAGAACAUGAACGUGGCAGUGAGAGCAGCACCUGGGCUGCAGGUCAUCUCACAGUUAAAUAUGUUUUGUGUCUGUUUUAUACGCAAAAUACAGGUGCAAUGCAUACCAGUUUCUACUCCCCUGAGUGAUAUCUGAAUGAUCAAGCUUUCCAAACAUUUCCUCAACAAUAAAAAUGCUGCUGGGGUUCUGCCUGCUGGUGAUUGAGCUUUACAGAGUGACAAGUGUUGUGGUCAGCCCUAUAGAACUGAGCCUGUGGCAUGGCGGUGAAAUUAGUAACAUUAGCGUCAUUACUGCUAUAUCCACCUACUCCUCCCAAUCACUAUGCUCCUCGUUUAGGUUGAUAUUUGACCUGGUGCUUGGUGUGUGACUUACGUGAAGGUUGUGCUUAAUGUAUUUGCAGUGGGCCAAGAAUGGGGUCGGAUUUCAAAGAAUUUUUUUCUGGGUCACCUUGACCCACAGUUCCUCAAAUCACUUUGACCGGUGGGAGGAAUCUUCAAGUUGCUACCUGUAUGGAUUGCAGGAAUAGGAUUUGGGCAGGAUGAACAGCAACAACUUGCAUUUACAUAGCAUCUUUCACAUAGUAAAACGUCCCAAAGUACUUCACAGGAACAGUGAUUACACAAAAUUUGACUGCAAGUCACUUAAAACGUAUUAGGACAGGUGGCCAAGGAGCUAAAUUUAAAGGAUCAUCUUAAAGGUGAAAAAGGUAGACAGGCAGGGAGGUUUAGGGAGAUGGUGGAGCAAAGAAAAUCAGGGAUGUGCAAAAGGCCAGAGAUGGAAGAUUCAGCCCAGGUUGUCGGGCUGGAGGAGGUUUCAGAGAUCGGGAGGGACAAGGACAUGGAAGGCUUUGAAAACAAGGAUGAGAAAUUUAAAAUCUAGGCAUUGCUGAACCUGGAGCCAUUCUAGGUCAGAGAGUGCAGGAAUGAUAGAUGAACAGGACUAGGGGUGAGUUUGAAUACAGCCAUCGGCCUUUGGAUGAACUGAGAUUUACGGAAGGUGCAAGAUGGGAGGCCACCAGUGGAGAAUUAGAGGGUCGAGCCCAGUGCUAACAAGGGUAUGGAUGAGGGUUUCAGCAGCAGAUGAGCUGUGGCAGGAAUAGAGAUGAUGUUAUGGAGGUAUAAGUAGGCAGUCUUGGUGAUGGAGUGGAUAUAUGUUCAGAAGCUCGACUCCGAGUCAAGUAGGAUGCCAAGGUCACGAAUAGUCUGGUUGAGCCUCAGACAGUGUUCAGGGAAAGAGAUGGAGUUGGUGGUUAGGGAAUGAAGUUUGGGCCUGGGAUUAAAGUCAAUGGCUUUGGUCCUCCCCAUAUUCAACUGGAGGAAAUUUCUGCUCAUCCAAUACUGAAUGUUAAACAAGCAUAGUGACAUAUCCAGGCUAUCAGAGGAAUCAAAGAGGUGAUAGUGAGGUAUAGCUGGGUAUCAUCAGCAUAUUUGUGGAACUUGACGUGUUUUUUGAUAUCUCCAAGGGGCAGGCUAUAGCUGGGAAAAUGGGAGUGGAUCAAGGAUAUAUCCUCGGUGGACUCCAGUGGUGGGAAUGGGAAGAAAAUCCAUUGCAGCUAAUUCUCUGGCAAUGACUGUAUAGGUAGGAAUGGAUUCAGUUGUGAAGCCCCACCCAGUUCAAUAGAAGAGAGGCACAAGCGUUUGUCAAGGCAGUUUGCCAAAUCUGGUCAUGUGAAGAUAACGUCGCAGAGCAGUAAGCUCAGCCUUUGGGCAAAUUUGAAGUAUUGUGCAAUCCCCAUUGUAGCCUCAUUGGCCUGCUUGUGUGUCUGGAAUUCCACCAAUGGCCAGAAUGCAGCAUGCCUUGAGGUUAAUUUGAGUAUUGUUUGUUUCUAAACAUGGAAGUAUAUCGUUGUGUCGCUUGCUCUUGAUGUCACCACUCUCCAUCUCUUAACGAAAAUUAUACUGCCAGCUUUUCAUUAAAAUAUCACUCCUUUAAACUAAUCAGAUAUCAUGAACCAUCACAUUUUGGUGCAUUCAUUUAGUGCAGCUUCAUGUAGAUUGAAAACACACUCUGUUCAUUCUAUCGCACACCCGUGACAUCGUUGUGUGACAUGGCAGUGUCUCAUUUGUCCAAAUGCUUCAAAACGUGUAAAUUGUGGGGAAGACGUUGUACAUUUUGCUGAUCCAGGUGCUGAUCAAAGUAAUGCUCUCCAUUUUAGCAAGGUGGUACUGCAAUGAUUGGAUUCAGAUUCAUGGCUAUGUUCCCCACAGAGUUACUCUCUGAUCUCCGUCAGGCAAUUGUGGG